UACGUAGGUGGCGAGCGUUGUCCGGAUUUACUGGGCGUAAAGGGAGCGUAGGCGGACUUUUAAGUGAGAUGUGAAAUACUCGGGCUCAACUUGAGUGCUGCAUUUCAAACUGGAAGUCUAGAGUGCAGGAGAGGAGAAUGGAAUUCCUAGUGUAGCGGUGAAAUGCGUAGAUAUGAGGAGGAACACCAGUGGCGAAGGCGGUCUGCUGGACAGCAACUGACGCUGAGGCGCGAAAGCGUGGGGAGCAAAUAGG
rnacentral:rRNA from 1 species